CGAGGAAGGACCAGUUCAGAUUCUUGACACACAACAGAAGGUGUUGAGGAACAAGACGAUACCAAUGGUGAAAGUCCUUUGGAGACACCACGGAGUCGAGGAGGCUACUUGGGAGCUCGAACAGGAGGUUCGGUCCAAGUACCCAGCGUUGUUUUCUUCUCCAGGUAUGUCUUGAUUUCGGGGACGAAAUCUUUUUUAAAGUUGGGGAGAAUGUAAAGUUUUUGACUUUCCAACAGUGGGGCCCACUUGAGUUAUAAGGGUCAUUGCAGACCCAUUUAAUUCCAAUUUGUUUUCUCUCUCGGCAGCUCAUAUCUCUCUCUCUCGCUGCUUCUGCUUUUUUUCUUUUCUUUUUUCUUUUUCAACUUCAAUCCUUGAUUCCAUCUUCAUUACUUACCGGAUUUAGGUGCCGUUUGAGGCAAAAUGACGAGUGUGACGAGCUCUACGCGUUGAUGCAAGCAAUUUCCAGUUUUGAGCCUUCUUUGGAACUCGAAAAUUUAAACCCAUUUAUAGGGUUUUGCCUAUUUUGAGGUCUUGGAAAAGAACCGGUGAACGACAACCCACCUCAAGCUUGAGCGAUACUAGAAGCUCACUUUUGUGUCUUUUGUAUAUCUCCCAUUAUUUUUGCAAAGCACUAAAAGUGUGAAGGUGUAUAUGUAUAUUUUGCAAAAACUUUGUCAUGUAAUGUAAUUAAGGUAUUUGAUGAUAUUUUGGAUGUGAAUUUGUUAACAUGUAAACCUUGUUGAUGAAUGGGAAGGAUAAUUUUAGUUAAAGUAA